GACGAGGGGUCCUAGCGUUGUUCGGAAUCACUGGGCGUAAAGCGUUUGUAGGCGGCUCCGCAAGUCGGGUGUGAAAUCCCACGGCUCAACCGUGGAAGUGCAUUCGAAACUGCAGAGCUUGAAUAUGGAAGAGGAGAGUAGAAUUCCAGGUGUAGUGGUGAAAUACGUAGAUAUCUGGAGGAAUACCGGUGGCGAAGGCGGCUCUCUGGUCCAAUAUUGACGCUGAGAAACGAAAGUGCGGGGAUCAAACAGG
rnacentral:rRNA from 1 species